rnacentral:sRNA from 1 species
GUCAACGAUUCCCCCGUCGCCGCCGACCCA